rnacentral:lncRNA from 1 species
UCGUGGUAUUUUUGUAUAUCGUCCAGUUUCUAUUAAGAGACAAUAAUCGCUUAUUCUAAAUUUGGUUAACAUUUUUCUUGUUUCUUUAUUUGGUGCGAUAGGUAGUAUUUCAUUUGGUCAUAUAUAUAAGAUUUAAGAAUGAUUAAAAAUACAAAGUAAAAAAGAUGUCAGCUUGUGCGAUGGCAACAGGUUUGGGAAACACCCUUUUUCUAUGAAUGCUACUCGGAUAACAUCAACGAAGUUUUUGAAUUUUGACAUAUUAUUAUGAGAAAG